UGACGUCAAGCCCUGCCUGGUACCUGGAAGUGUGUCCUCCGACCAGCGAGGCCCUCACAGUCUCCUUCCUCUUCUCUCCCAGAGCCUCGCGCUGAACCUCCCUGUGAUCUUCCUGCUCUUAAAGACCUCCCUGGACCACAGCCACACGCUGUCCCCUCUCAGAUGGCACCCAUGAGACAUAGCCCAUGAGACAUACCCGGACAUAGAAGAUGCCCCAGGAGUGUUUUGGGAUGAGGUGGCUUCAGAGACUGCAGAGGAAGGCAAAGCCAAUAUAGAGACUUUAAGUGAAACAAAACACUUCUCUUCCGGUAGCUGGCACGACUGGACGGAGGCGGCGGGAGAGAAAGCCCGUGUGGAAAGGCUCCUGGGAGGGGUCGAGGCGCAGGAAGGGCCGACCUGCAGCGGACCUCUCCUAGUCUGGGGGCCACCGUGAACGACAGUUUGCCUUUUUUGGUAAAAACCAUAUCUUUUAGUCUCAUUUUCUCAUUGUUUGUUGUCAUUUAUCCAAAAAUGUGUUGGUAAAAAUGAAAAUAUUAGGAUUAUAUAUGACAGAUUGUUUAAUCUCUUGGACUCCAUGUUCCUCAAUUUCCAAACAAGCUGGUAGAAUUAAAUGAUGGUAAAAUCUCCUCUGGACCUGGGGUUAAGGAGGAACCACAGUCUCUGGAAGUGACGGGUCAUCAGAGGCAUCUGGGGAGGCUGCAGCAUUUCUAGUCAAGCUUCUGGACUCCGCCUCCAGAAAGUCUGAAGCUUCCCUUCAGCGAAUGAUCCCUGAGGGCCUGGGUGAAAUGUUGGGUGUGCAAUGAACAAGGAACCUGACACAGUCCUGUCCCAUCCCAUGCCCAUAAAGGGCUGAGACUGAGCCCAGUAACCUGUAACCUGCGUCUGUAAAACACUUUCCAGGCAACUCUGGAAACCGGGAAGUUUUGAGCAGCUCUGUGUCAGACCCUAAACAUACUUACGAUAUUUCUGAGGGAUUUUCCAUCUGCAUCUUAUUUGGGAUGAACUCAGUUUUACACUCUAAGAAAUCCUUCUACAUUUCCCCAUAGCCUUUAAAUAGUUAUUCUAAAACACACACACACACAGCUAGAAUCUAAGGUCUACGUAGCGGUCCCUGUCUCUCUUAGUUGAAACACAGGUGUUAGGAAAGCGCACACGUGACACGUGCAUUUACAAGUGUGGGUGCUGAGUGAGGGUUUAACAGACUAACACGGUUAGCUCCUGCACUAACCAGACAUCUGCAGAAGUUGGAAGAAAAUCAUUUGGUUUAAAAUGAGUGUGAAAUUUCAGAUUGCUUAUCCAAAUAAAU
rnacentral:lncRNA from 1 species